rnacentral:misc_RNA from 1 species
UCCCCGUUGCCGGGGCAGUCUAGCUAGAGAAAUUCAACUAACUAUAAGGGUUGCGCUCGUUAAUGGACUUAACCAAACAUCUCACGACACGAGCUGACGACGGCCAUGCAACACCUGUCACCGGGUUCCCGAAGGCACUUUUUGCUUUCGCAAAAAUUCCCGGGAUGUCAAACCCUGGUAAGGUUCUUCGCUUACCAUCGAAUUAAACAACACGCUCCACCGCUUGUGCGGGUCCCCGUCAAUUCCUUUGUGUUUUAAGCUUGCGCUCGUACUACACAGGCGGGAUGCUUAACGCGUUAGCUUCGCUACUACUCGGGUCGAUACGAAUAACAGCUAGCAUCCAUAGUUUACGGCGUGGACUAC